ACGACUCCCGGCAACGGAUAUCUCGGCUCUCGCAUCGAUGAAGAACGUAGCGAAAUGCGAUACCUGGUGUGAAUUGCAGAAUCCCGCGAACCAUCGAGUCUUUGAACGCAAGUUGCGCCCGAGGCCACUCGGCCGAGGGCACGCCUGCCUGGGCGUCACGC
rnacentral:rRNA from 2 species